rnacentral:tRNA from 1 species
GCCUGGGUGGCUCAGUCGGUUAAGCAUCUGACUUCUGCUCAGAUCAUGAUCUCGCAGUUUGUGAGUUCGAGCCCCGCAUCGGGCU